ensembl:lncRNA
ACCCUCUGCUUCUAGCCCCAGUGAUGCGGGGUGGGGGUGGGGUGGGGGCAACAUGGACGCUGCUCCCAGAAGCCCACCCUCCUGAUGUCUGACCCGAGCCCUCCUUGGCGCCUUGGACCUGGCUGGCGUCUCUCAACUCCCUCCCAGGGCCAGCAGCUCCGCUGCGGGGGCCCGGGCUCCUCUCCCUCUGCACGUUCCCCCCGCGUGAGCUCAUCCCGCCCAUGGCUGUAAUUCCGGCGGAUGGGCCGCGGCUGCCUCUCCAGUGCGGGCUUGUCUCCGAGCUGCUCCACUCGUGGACACCUCUGCCUGGAUUCCUGCCCCCCUCCCCCCGCGCUCCACCUCCACAUGUGUGAACUUGAAUGCAGUCUGAACCUGGCCUCCUCCCUUCUUAUCUCAGCGAGCAGCUCCUCAGGUGCCUGUCAGGAACCUGGGCGGGAUUCCUGCCUCCUUCUUGCUCACCCCCCACCCUCGGGUCAGCCCCUGCUGCCCUUUCCUGCGCCCCCACACUAGCGCGGGAGGCGGCGGCUGUCACAGUGGUCGGUGGGCGCCCCUUCCUCCAAGCUGCCCUCCACCCCGCCUCUGAGGAUGAGGGGCACCUUCUGUCCAUCUCCGCUCACCUGUCACUGCCGGCUGUCGAGGGCCACUGUUCUCCGUGUGAAUGGAUAGAGCUGGCUGAUUUCACACGUGAGUUUUGGAAACAGAAUCUACCACUUUUCAGUUCCGCCCUGUGUUCUGUCUUCCUUCCUCCCGUCACCACAAGCUUUCUGAGUCGGGAAUCAAAUGGGCGGUCCUCCUUGGGUUCCCCUGUCUCACAUCACUGGCCCCACCCUGCCAGUCACUGCUGUGGGGGCUGUGAGAACAGCACCCCAAGUGUGGCUCUGUCACACGCGCUGAGUACUUGGAACAGCACCCUGAGUGUGGCUCUGUCACACACGCUGAGUACUUGGAACUAACAAAAAGCAGCCUUGUAGCUGAGGUCUCUCUGGCCUCUCCCCCACCCCAGCACAGGUAGGGGCUCCCUCUGCAGUGUCCCAGAGGAUGGACCCCCCGAAGCUGAACGCGUGGGAAGGAAGACUUUGUCCAAGGCUGCUGGCUGUUCUUUGGGCCCAUCCUACUCCCCUAAAAUCGUGUACCCUUGCUCCACACUGCCCACACCCCUGUUUCCCUGGGUGCACGCGCCUCUGCGUCUCACUGGGCUACUGCGACACCGCCACGCACGUGGUGAGCUCGCUGCCUGUCUCCCGCUAUCUGUGUAUUGCGGUUGAUGCCAGCGGACGCAGGGAUACUCCUUCCGGGGCAGGGGGAGAGGAAGCUCCUUUGCUUACAACCGUGCUCCUGGAUGGGGCCGGGCAGAAGGAGGCUGAGGCCAGCUCCAGAGCCCCUGGUCUGGUUCCCCCUGUGUCUUCCCUCCAACGUGCUGGGGCCGUGUGAGCUGCCCCGACGCCAUAGGGGUGGAGAGGGGACCAGGAAGGGGUCUUUGAGAGAGAGGCGGGUGAGCAGUGUGACGCUGAGGGAUACCCCUGGGCUGUGGGGAGCGGUCAGUCAGUCACAAAGCCUCCUCCCGGAGGUCUCAUCAGCAGAUGGGGUCUCCAUCAAGGAAAGGUGCAGAUGUGUGAGCCACAGAGAAUUGGUGAUACACAGAUCAAUACCUUCUGAACUACAAAGGACCUCAAGCUCAUCUCCUUCAACCCUGACCCACGGCAAGAAUCUCCUCUUCCAUCUCUGGUGGGUCUUAUUUUGUCUUCACUUGUAUGCCUCCAGUGACGGGGAGCUCACCACCACCACAGCAGGAACUUUUAGGCACCUGAUCAUACCUGUUCUCCCCACCAGCCUCUUCUCUCCUUCCUAAUCCAGAAUCUGAUUUGAAUCAAGUAGCCACCUCUCCACAUGCCAAGGAGAGAAUCAUAGCCGACCUAAGGGGUCGUGGGGAGCCCAUCUGCUGCACCCCCCCCAGUGAAUGAUUUAGGCAAAGCCUUGGACAUGGGACACAAUUCUAGCUAAUGAGGUGCAAGGAAAGCCUGCUCGGAGAGUCUGCAAAAGGUGUCAGAAAGACACACGAGAAGAGCUGGGCCCGUAUGUGAUGCCUGGAACUGGGGCAGCUCUCUUGUGACCAUGGAGAUAGCCAACUGAAGACAAAGUGGACAGGCCGAGGGGAACAGAGAAGACAUGCACAAAACCAAAACAGACACGAGAACAAACACAAAUGGGGGUGCUGACGUAGUCGCUGAACGGCUGAGUUAGCCAGUCCUGGAGCUGCAGCUACAUUUUAAGCAAACCCAAAAAGAUAUGAACUCAUUAAGCAGGCAUCCAACGAAACGGUUUACGCAAACUGCAACUAACCCAGGAAUCUCUAAUCCUAACCGUGUGCGAUUGAGUUUUGAACCUUAACACCCCUCUGUUUUAUUUUGCUUUUUCAGUUUUGCCCCACCGUCCGUCUCCCCUGGAUCCGUGGAUUAGCAUAUUAGAAUAUUCUCCCCACUGGGAGGAACAGGGCUGAGGAGGGAGCGCCCCAACACCAGCGCAAGCCGGGGUCCCCUCGUCGUGGGCUCUGUCUUCCUGUGGACCAACGCCUGGCUGAUGGGUUCACGGCGCCUCUGAUGCACGGGCUGUUCUUGCUCAUAAGGAUGGACCGACGUCAGCUGACCUGCAUGUUCCUUCUCAGGUCUAGGGGGUGCGGGGUGGGGGCGGUCAUGGUGUGGCCUUCCCCAGCCCCUUUGCUGCUGGGCAGGCAGGGCCAGAGGUGGAGAUGAUUACCUGGGGCCCACCAGAGGGCGCUCCUUUCCCAGUGGCCGCCCCACACUCACUCCUGAGGCCCUGGCCUUCCCCAGGCCUCUCUCCCACUCACCCUCCUGACCCUCAGUCAGAGUAGGGCUCCACCUCCUACAGAUCCCAAAACAGAUCUUAGGGGAUCAGCACUGUGGUGUAGCCGGUAAACCCGCCAUGUGCAGGGCCGGCAACCCAUAGGAGCAUUGGUUCAAGUCCCGGCUGCUCCUCUUCUGAUCCAGCUCCCUGCUAAUGCACCUGGGAGAGCAGUAGAAGAUGGCCCCAGUCCUUGGGCCCCUGCACCCAUGUGAAGAGACCUGGAAGAAUCUCCUGGCUCCUGGCUUCAGAUUGGCCCAGCUCUGGUAGUUGCAGCCAUUUGGGGGAAUGAACCAGUGGAUGGAAGAUCUCUUUCUAUCUCUAUGUCUCCUCUCUGUGUAACUCUGUCAAAUAAAUAUUAAAAAAAAAAAAAAAAGCCCCCGACC